rnacentral:tRNA from 1 species
GCCUCGGUAGCUCAGUUGGCAGUUUCGAGAGAAGCAGACAAAGUCUGCUUCGACCAGCAGCAGAGCGAUCGGCUUGUAACCGAUAGGUCGGGGGUUCGAAUGGCGCAUGAAGCAGGUUUCACCUGCUUCCGUCUGAAUAUCCCUCCCGAGGCU